UAAGGAAUAUUGGACAAUGGACGCAAGUCUGAUCCAGCCAUGCCGCGUGAAGGAUUAAGGUCCUCUGGAUUGUAAACUUCUUUUAUAAGGGACGAAAAAAGGUCUUUCUAGAUCGUCUGACGGUACCUUAUGAAUAAGCACCGGCUAACUCCGUGCCAGCAGCCGCGGUAAUACGGAGGGUGCAAGCGUUAUCCGGAUUCACUGGGUUUAAAGGGUGCGUAGGCGGGCAGGUAAGUCAGUGGUGAAAUCCUAGAGCUCAACUCUAGAACUGCCAUUGAUACUAUCUGUCUUGAAUAUUGUGGAGGUAAGCGGAAUAUGUCAUGUAGCGGUGAAAUGCUUAGAUAUGACAUAGAACACCUAUUGCGAAGGCAGCUUACUACGCAUAUAUUGACGCUGAGGCACGAAAGCGUGGGGAUCAAACAGG
rnacentral:rRNA from 1 species